rnacentral:lncRNA from 1 species
UCCUACUUGGUCCUGUCUGGUUUCCUCUUGGUGGUGCUUAUUGAGCAGGCGGAGCAGCCUGGUUUCCGGUGACGUUUCUCAGCGACUGUUGUCGUGGUGCAUUUCUUCCACCAGCUUGAUUCCGAUGUGGACAGUUAGGUCUAAUGUGGCCUUCUUCGCCACACGCAUUGCAGGUAGUGGCACGGUUCUUCUUUGGAGUUGGUUCCUUGCUACUAGAACCUUCAUCUUUCUUUUCCCCAAAGCACAUUUUCUUGGAAUUGUUUCUUCUUCGAUCCUCAACUCUCCCCGGGUGUAGGUUUCUUCUCUGGCUUAAGAGAUAGUCUUACUCCAGCACAUGUGCAUUAUUCACCAUCUCUUGGUAUGUUUGAUCUCCUUGAGCUGUCACAUGUCGGCAAAUAUCGUCCCCGAGGCCUUGUCGAAACCUCGUCGACUUCAUUUCUUCGUCCGCCAUUAAGGUAGGUGCAAAGCGUACUAGGUCAGUGAACUUUGCUAUCCGUCAUCUUGCCUUGUUCAAGGGUGAACAAUUCCUAGAUCUUAGUUUGUUUAAAAGCGGUAGGAAAAUACUGGUUGAGAAAGUAUCUUUCAA